UAAGCAACUUGUGCUGCGCAGUGUGACCAGCAGCCAACUCAUCCCACCAGGUAGACCCCAGGGCAGUGACUCAUAGGGGUGUCACAGCCAGCGCAGUCCAAGCUGGUGUGUGGGAAGCGCCCAUGGUGCUUGGCGAAGCCUCGCUGAUUGAUGGGAUGAGUGCUCUUCUGCUGAUAAUAUUUAUGGCUGCCUCCAGGGAACAUGUCCAAAGCUCUGGUUUUACUGGCUUGUUGCUUCUCUGCCUCUUUCCAGCUGUCAUGUUGCAGACACAGGCUGUGGUUAGCAUCCUGACCAAGGACUUGGAGCACCUCCUUCCUGUUUCUUCCUCCAUAAACUGGUCAUGAGGCUUGUUGGACUAGAAGCUACAAAGGCUGCACCAAGCUUUCCUUGUGUUUAAAAAGAAGUCAUUUCCUGGUAGUGGGUCCCCUGUGCAAAUCCCAAGACUGAUGUCAUUGGUGUUGUUAUGGGAGCACGUGCAGGUAAACGACAUCACCAUGAACUUGUGUCAUGCCCCGCGUCA